rnacentral:lncRNA from 1 species
AAUAAACACUAAAGUCGAUUUUUAUUCUAUCAGCAUUCAUUUCUGCAAUCAUUGCACACAAGAGAAUAAACAAAAUUUACACAGAACUGUUCACGUUAACAUUCACUUUCAUGUUGAAUUAUGUUGACGAUAGAUGACUUGAUUUACACAUAGAUGAACUCGUAGCAUAAAUCGAUAGUGAGCAGCAAUAGGAUCCAUGUUAUAUUCAUCUGUAGGUAUGUGUUCGUAAAACAUACUUUUCGUGUUCAUGGGUUGAUUGGUAUGCCGUGAUGAAAAUCGUAUAUUGUAGAGCUAUUCAUUCAAAUUUUAUCUGUAAAUAGAAACAAAUUAAUUAGUAGUAACCGUAUUUAGUAGUUUAGAUAAAUACUCCCCGGGUUUAUUAAGAUAAUCAGUCAAAUUUCGAAGAUUUUCUUGCAGCUCCAUUGUAAAAACGUUCGUAUCCACUUUUCUCUUGUUGCUUUUGUCAGUUUGACACUUAGAUGCUUUAGCAGCUCUGUCAAAACUAGCGCAGGGGUGGACAUGAUGCUGUCAGUUUUGAUGCGAUGUUUUUUCUUGACUAAAAGCAGUCACAGGGAGGGCUGUGAUGACAUAAUAUUUUAUUAGUGUUGGUCAACACAAGGUUGAUGUGGUAGAAUAUUAUGAAUCUCAGUUAUUUACGUAUAUGUGCUGAGAUCAACAAAUUGUCAAAAUUAGUUUGAUGUAGUUGAUAUGCAGCCGAUUUGAAGAGUAUAGUUAUCACUUUACAAAACAAGUCGAAUCAAGAUCGAUGCAGUAAAGGAUGCAUAUAUCUGUUAUGAGUUUUACGUUCUAUUUACAAUCUCUAAGUUUAAGCUAUAGAAGGGUUGGAAAUGGUCCAAUAGGGUAGCUUUUUUGUAAAUAUUGCAACGAUAACGAGACAGCUGAAAUUCCACGCAGCGUUAGGUUUAUAGAGUUGAGAAAUUCAGUGUUAUUACAAUUGGACAGAUUUGUUAUUUCAAAAUAUUUCAUUUAUUUGGGUUAUGAAAAUUUGAUCAAUCUCACAUUGAUCAAAUUUUCAUAAAACUGCGUGAUGUGAUGUAACGUUCUCCGUCUUUUCGUCUAAAAGUCUUUUGUUUUUUUUUAUAUAUAUAUCUUUGUUUAUCAAAUUUCAUAAUAUGUUUUUUUCUGUAAAUAUGUAAAUAAACGAGGCAAACUGAUUUGAAAUAUUUAUAAAAGCACCAGUACAACAAUUUUGGUUUGCUAUAAUUUUAUAGCAACUUUUGAUAAUUUUAAGAACCAUUCACAUAUCAGCCGAAUAUUUUAUAUUUUUUGUACAGAAGCUUUUUAGGAUAAAAGCUUAGUAGUAAAGUAACUUAAAUGUAGAUGGCCCAUGAAUUCAAUAAUCUCGUCUAAUAUUGUUUAAAUGUAUGUGUAAGUGUUAACUGUCAGAAUAUAUGACUAAGCAUUCUAAAGCAUGAAGAUUACAUUUUCUCAAAUCUUUACUCACUUUUAAAUCGUCUUGGCUGAAGAGUGGAAGCAAGUUCGGUGAAUAAUUUACGUUUUUAUUUGAUUCGAAGUUUUUUGAUUAAUUUUUCACGCGGAACAAAGGCUCUGCUCUCGAGCAAUUAUUUAUCGUACAAAAGCAGCGUCCGAUUGACGCUUUUUGUACGGGCUAAAAAGCUCUACGGCCUUUUUCGGCCAUUACUACUCCACGAGGUGGACAUCUGGACCGUGCAGGCCCGCCAUUACGGUAGCCAAACGGGUAUAGAGGCCCUCCGACCUGCCGAGAAUCCGGAGAAGGUUCAUUCCGUCACGGUGGUCGCGUAGUCCCGAAGGCGAAGACCAGUUGGAGGCACGUUGGCCUUCUACGAGAGGAGACGGUAGAGUAUCGGACAUCAGCCAUUGCCCAUACCCGCAACUUUACUUCGGCCUAUCACGCACGUGUGCCCCUCCCGGCGACGCUUCUGCCGAGGAGUCGGGGUGUUUCCUGAAACGCAUGGUUCGGACACCCGCUGCAGCCGGUACCCAGUGCUGAACAUCACGCGACGUCGCUACACCCCUGCCGGUUCGCUCAGCUGCCAGCAUUAACAUAAAUCCUGAUCAGGUAUGUCGUUAACCAUGGCCAUGUCACUCACACUACAACACUCACACUUACACCUUACACAUAAAUGAAUUACCCGAAAAAAUGAAUACAAUACAUAAAUGAAUUCAAUCUAAA